rnacentral:rRNA from 1 species
UACAGAGGAUGCAAGCGUUAUCCGGAAUUAUUGGGCGUAAAGCGCGCGCAGGUGGUUCCUUAAGUCUGAUGUGAAAGCCCACGGCUCAACCGUGGAGGGUCAUUGGAAACUGGGGAACUUGAGUGCAGAAGAGGAAAGUGGAAUUCCAAGUGUAGCGGUGAAAUGCGUAGAGAUUUGGAGGAACACCAGUGGCGAAGGCGACUUUCUGGUCUGUAACUGACACUGAGGCGCGAAAGCGUGGGGAGCAAACAGG